AUUGAACGCUGGCGGAAUGCUUUACACAUGCAAGUCGAACGGCAGCACGGACUUCGGUCUGGUGGCGAGUGGCGAACGGGUGAGUAAUACAUCGGAACGUGCCCAGUCGUGGGGGAUAACGUAGCGAAAGCUACGCUAAUACCGCAUACGAUCUACGUAUGAAAGCGGGGGAUCGCAAGACCUCGCGCGAUUGGAGCGGCCGAUGGCAGAUUAGGUAGUUGGGGGGGUAAAGGCUCACCAAGCCGACGAUCUGUAGCUGGUCUGAGAGGACGACCAGCCACACUGGGACUGGGACAGGGCCCAGACUCCUACGGGAGGCAGCAGUGGGGAAUUGUGGACAAUGGGCGCAAGACUGAUCCAGCCAUUCCGCGUGCAGGAGGAAGGCCCUCGGGUUGGAAACUGCCUUUGUACGGAACGAAAAGGCUCUGGUUAAUACCCGGGGCUCAUGACGGUACCGUAAGAAUAAGCACCGGCUAACUACGUGCCAGCAGCCGCGGUAAUAC
rnacentral:rRNA from 1 species